ACACGCCGCCGUGCGCCGUCGCCGCCUCCGUUCUCGGCCGUCUCCCGCGGCGCUAGCAGCCCCGGAUCACCACUCUCCUUCCACCCCCAGCGGCGGCUCGUCGUUCCUCCCUCGCGCCGAGGGUUCCUUCGACGCGACCCUCUCCCAGCCAGUCCAAGCCGGCACAGGUGGUGGUAACAACGGCGGACGGAGGACGCUGCCUCUUCGUUCCACGAGGCGGCACAAGGAAGAACGGCGGUUUCCUGCCACCUCCAUCCAUCCCCGCAUCAUAUAUACUCCAGCAGGAGGUCUGUACAAGUCAUCCGUGUACAAGUCCAAGUGAUAGUUCAUGGCUGCUUGUUUUGCAACAAAGCUCUUAUGUUGGGUUUGCUCCAAGAAACGAGGAGACAAGGGGAAUAAUACCAUGGGAGUCGUGCAUCCUCAAGGAAGUGCACCUGAUUCAUAAGCUGUAGGUAGUGAUUGCCAUCCUUAUCUCUGUAAAAGUUGAAGAUGAUUUCUUUGCAGCUUUAGAUUACUUGAGCUAGGGGCGAUGUACCAGUUAUGUUAUCGAACUUGAAAAAUAUUCAUAUGUCGUGUUGCCUGAUACCAAA